ACAAAGCUUCCGUGGGUGAACCUGCGGAAGGAUCAUUGCCGAUUGCUUCAUCGAGCUUACCGUUUGAAUUACCUACCGUGUAGGACUCAACACAACACGCUUCCAUCCGAAGAGUAACUGAGUUCUUGAGCUGGGAGACGUCUGCCCUGGGAGCCUGGCCUCUCCGCCCAGGUGGGUAGGCAGGUAUCUCGCGAGUGAGUAUGCACAGACGAGCGAGACGGCAGUGCUGGACCGUAUAGAGCUGCAUGCGUCACUGAGGCAGACUCGUGCAUCCCGACAUCUCAGCACAUGUAGGGUUCCUUACCGCAGCGGCUUGGCCACGAGCCCGGAGUUUGACCCCUCGCGUCGAGCGGAAUUCGGAACUGGACAUCGCACCUCGUCAUGAGACCAGUUCCCGUUACUGAGUGAUCGGCUCAAGUCCUUAUUACCGGACGCUCAUCACUUACAGCGUUCCAUUAUGGCGCAGAGACCUGGUCAGGACCGCUGCGUGGACUGAAGUUCUCACUGCUCAGCUCGAUCGGAUAGAGGAUCUGAGAUGACGCGUGUAAAGGCUUAUACCACCCUGACGGGUGGAGCCUUCGGCAAUGAAAUCCUCUAAACAUCUGCCACAAGCGCGGCAAGGAGGACUUGUCCUGGCAAUCCUCUGUACACCACCGGGUACCCAACACCUCACACGCCUACUGAGUAAGCAGGGUGGUCGAAUGUCUCCUGCAUCAGUUUGUACCUCUCGCCUCACGGGAGGGACGCCCGGGGGCUUUGCCGUCUAACCCUGUAAAACCCGUUGUCUCCGAAUUGUGAGCUUACCCUACCCAAUACGAAAACAUAAAAACUUGACAACUCUUACUGGUAAAUCACUCGGCUCAUGCAUCGAUGAAGAACGCAGCAAGCUGCGAGAACUCAUGUGAAUUGCAGGACACAUUGAUCAUCGAAACUUCGAACGCACCUUGCGGCCCCGGGUUACUCCCGGGGCUACGGCUGUCUGAGGGUCGCUUUGACAUCAAUCGGAAAGGCCGUUCUACCUCGUGCCUUCUCGCGGGUGUGGCCGACGCUGGCAUCCGUUGCUCUUCCCACUAAGCGCUGCCUGCAGCGGUGACGCUCGCCACCUCGGGUGCGGUUGAGGGGAGGUAUCGGGCCGGCCGCCCCUCCGUAGUGCCUCUGGGCUCCGGUCCUCCGGCUCCGCACUGCAUCAUGCUCCCGUGGAACCAAAAACCCCUGGGAGAAGGGACGCCCGGACGGGCUCCGCAUGAAUCGGGUGCGGCUGUCGGUGGACAGACCAUGUCUCUCCGCGCUGACCGUGUUACGUGUGGACCCGGUUCUGACGGGAACGCUGCGGCUGUGAGUACGAGGUUCGGGGGUCGUCCUCGGUGUUUGGGAGGUCGCGGCGCAGGGGGCACCCACCGGCUCGUCGCGGCGCACUCCACCUCCGGAGGCGUUACGACCCCCCCAGGCUAUCCCGGAACGCCUGAGCCCCCCCUUCAACUCGUGGGACGGGGG
rnacentral:rRNA from 1 species